rnacentral:lncRNA from 1 species
GAGAGACCACAACCCUUCAGAAGAAGGUGCGAAUCAGGGCCUGGUCCUGCAUGCAGUAAUUUGAAUAAAAAGAAAGGAGGAAAAUACUAGGUCAUAGAGAAGUUCCAGUAAGAAGAAAAUACUGCAUCAAAGAAGAAGCUAGGAAUACAGAAUUCAUUAUUUAACUGAGCUCACUUCUGCCUGCCACACCUUGUACAUACCUGGGCCGUACAACUCUGAAAUGAGGUGUGGCCCAGUGUUCCAGGAUGAGUCCAGGCAGAGACUUUUCCUGAACCCCUGUCAAAUUUGCUGCUCAAAAAGCUUGAGUUUAAGCCAAAUCCAAUAAAAGGAAAGAUUUCACUCACU